AGAGUUUGAUCAUGGCUCAGGAUGAACGCUAGCGGCAGGCCUAAUACAUGCAAGUCGAGGGGCAGCACGGGUAGCAAUACCUGGUGGCGACCGGCGCACGGGUGCGUAACACGUAUACAAUCUGCCUUUAACAGGGGGAUAGCCCGGAGAAAUCCGGAUUAAUACCCCAUAAUAUAUUGAGUGGCAUCACUUGAUAUUGAAAGCUCCGGCGGUUAGAGAUGAGUAUGCGUCUGAUUAGUUAGUUGGUGAGGUAACGGCUCACCAAGACCACGAUCAGUAGGGGAUCUGAGAGGACUACCCCCCACACGGAUACUGAGACACGGAUCCGACUCCUACGGGAGGCAGCAGUAAGGAAUAUUGGACAAUGCCCGCAAGGGUGAUCCAGCCAUGCCGCGUGCAGGAAGACGGCCCUAUGGGUUGUAAACUGCUUUUACACCGGAGAAAACCCUCGCUCGUGAGCGAGGCUGAUAGUAUGGUGAGAAUAAGCAUCGGCUAACUUCGUGCCAGCAGCCGCGGUAAGACGAAGGAUGCAAGCGUUAUCCGGAUUCAUUGGGUUUAAAGGGAGCGUAGGUGGCCUUGUAAGUCAGUGGUGAAAUCUCUGGGCUUAACCCAGAAAUUGCCAUUGAUACUGCAGGGCUUGAGUAUAGAUGCCGUUGGCGGAAUAUGACAUGUAGUGGUGAAAUACAUAGAGAUGUCAUAGAACACCGAUUGCGAAGGCAGCUGACGAAACUAUAACUGACACUGAGGCUCGAAAGUGUGGGGAUCAAACAGGAUUAGAUACCCUAGUAGUCC
rnacentral:rRNA from 1 species